AGGGCUGUAGCUCAGUGGUAGAGCUCUUGUCUAGCACACAUGAGACACUGGGUUUGAUCCUUAGCACUG
rnacentral:tRNA from 1 species